GACGAACGCUGGCGGCGUGCUUAACACAUGCAAGUCGAACGGAAAGGCCCCUUUGGGGGUACUCGAGUGGCGAACGGGUGAGUAACACGUGAGUAACCUGCCCUUGACUUCGGGAUAACUUCAGGAAACUGGGGCUAAUACCGGAUAGGAAUCCUUGCUGCAUGGUGGGGGUUGGAAAGCUUCGGCGGUUUUGGAUGGACUCGCGGCUUAUCAGCUUGUUGGUGGGGUAGUGGCUUACCAAGGCUUUGACGGGUAGCCGGCCUGAGAGGGCGACCGGCCACAUUAGGACUGAGAUACGGCCCAGACUCCUACGGGAGGCAGCAGUGGGGAAUAUUGCACAAUGAGCAGAAGCCUGAUGCAGCAACGCCGCGUGCGGGAUGACGGCCUUCGGGUUGUAAACCGCUUUCAGCAGGGGCGAAGCUUGUGGUGACGGUACCUGCAGAAGAAGCACCGGCUAACUACGUG
rnacentral:rRNA from 1 species